rnacentral:rRNA from 1 species
AACAGAAGCUGAACCUUCUUCAUCCCAUGAUUUAAUACGUUAAAAAACGAUCUUGGAAGCUAAGCAGGGUCGGGCCUGGUUAGUACUUGGAUGAGAGACCGCCUGGGAAUACCAGGUGCUAUAGACU